rnacentral:Y_RNA from 1 species
GGCUGGUCCGAGUGCAGUGGUGCUUUACAACUAAUUGAUCACAGCCAGUUACAGAUUUCUUUGAUCCUUCUCCACUCCCACUGCUUCACUUGACUAGCCUUAA